rnacentral:rRNA from 1 species
AAACCGCCUAGAGGUAAACGGGUGGAUCCGCAAAGUCGGCCCGCGGGAUUCAGCUCGGAAGGCUGCGCGCCCGGUGAUGGGUAAGGGAUCUUAUCGACCCUCCCGUCCUGGGACGCGUGUCGGCCGUGUGCACUUUCCGCGGGCAGAGCGCCACGACCGGUUCUCGGGCGGUCAGAAGGCGGCGGGGAUGGUAGGCGGGCGCCUCGGCGCUCGCUGGUAUAGCCCCGCCUGUCCCGAUCCGCUCUGGGGACCGAGGAGCCGCCGUCGGCGUAGGCCGCCUCGCUCUCCCGGGAUGUUCGACUAGCAGAGACUGGGCAACCGUGUCUGCUGACCGCUUCCUGGGAUGGUCGGGGUGGGCCCGUCGGCACAGGGUCGGUGGCGAAUCGGUCGGCCCUCCACCCGACCCGUCUUGAA